rnacentral:rRNA from 1 species
AUGGCCUGCAGCCUGCUCCUGCGCGAGACAGCGCCGGCCCGCCGCCUCUUCCACGCCGCGCGGCCGACGCGCGGAGAAGCAUGUGCUGCUGCACGGAGGCGAAUCGUCGCCUCCGUCCCGCCGCCCGCCGCGUCCGCGCCGCCGUCACCUCGACGCUCGAGCACCGGCAGGCCUGCGCCAGAUCGGAUCGAUCGGGUCGAAUCGAGCCGACCAGCCAGCUUCUCCACGUCCACGUCGGCGCGCGCGUCCGGCGGGGAGGCGAUGGCGGGCGGCACGGAGGCGCCGCGCGUCGUGGAGGACUGCCGCGGCGUGCUGCAGGUGCUCAGCGACGGCACGACCGUGCGCUCCGCCGCCGCGCCGUACACGGUGGAGGACCGCGACGACGGCCGCGUCGAGUGGAGGGACGCCGUGUACCACGCCGCCCACGGCCUCGGCGUGCGCAUGUACAGGCCUGCGCGCCGGGAGGGGAAGGGGAAGGCGCGGCUGAGGCUGCCUGUGCUGGCCUACUUCCACGGCGGCGGCUUCUGCAUCGGCAGCCGCGCCUGGCCCUCCGUGCACGCCUGCUGCCUCCGCUUCGCCCACGAGCUCCCCGCCCUCGUGCUCUCCUUCGACUACCGCCUCGCCCCCGGCCCUGCUGACGGAUCUGGGUCUGACGAGGACGUCCAAUCCUGGCUCGCCGACUCCGGCGCCGACCCGGGGAGGCUCUUCGUGUCCGGCGACUCCGCCGGCGCCAACAUCGCGCACCACAUGGCCGCCCGGUUCGGCGCGGCGGGGCUGGACCUCGUCAAAAUCGCCGGGUACGCCCUCAUCAUGCCGGCGUUCACCUCCGAGGCGCCGACGCAGUCCGAGCUGGGCUCGCGGGGCAGCGCGUUCCUGAGCCGGGACGUGGCGGAGCGGUACAACCGGCUCGCGCUGCCGGCCGGCGCCAACAAGGACUACCCGCUGAUGAACCCGCUCGGGCCGGACAGCAUGGGCCUGGGACCCGUCGGCGGCCGCGUGCUCGUCGUCGUGGGCGGCGACGACAUGCUGAAGGACAACCAGGUCCGGUACGUGGACGGGAUGAAGGCCGCGGGGAACGACGUGGAGCUCGCCGUGUUCGCCGGCAAGGAGCACGGCUUCUUCUCCAGGGACCCGUGGUCGGAGACCAGCGGCGAGGUCGUGCGAGUCGUCGGCCGGUUCAUGGGCAGAGACGCAGCCGAUUCAACCGGCGUCGGCGGUCAGGACUAA